rnacentral:misc_RNA from 1 species
GAUGAAGAACGCAGCGAAAUGCGAUAAGUAGUGUGAAUUGCAGAAUUCAGUGAAUCAUCGAAUCUUUGAACGCACAUUGCGCCCCCUGGUAUUCCGGGGGGCAUGCCUGUCCGAGCGUCAUUGCUGCCCUCAAGCCCGGCUUGUGUGUUGGGCCCCGUCCUCCGAUUCCGGGGGACGGGCCCGAAAGGCAGCGGCGGCACCGCGUCCGGUCCUCGAGCGUAUGGGGCUUUGUCACCCGCUCUGUAGGCCCGGCCGGCGCUUGCCGAUCAACCCAAAUUUUUAUCCAGGUUGACCUCGGAUCAGGUAGGGAUACCCGCUGAACUUAAGCAUAUCAAUAAGCGGAGGA